CAUCCAUCGCCGGUUGCACCAGUGGAGCGGUUGCGGGUCCUCAUGAGAGUCUGAACAUUCUGCUCCAAGACAACACUUCUAAGGCAGGACCUAAAACUGACUGCGCGCUUAAGAAAACCCACUGCUACCAAGAUAUAACCGUCGGCAACAAUUACUCUACUGAAAAAUAUAAAACGUAAUUGCAUUUUCGAGUUAGUGCUUCAGAGGCAACU